rnacentral:rRNA from 1 species
CAGCCGCCGCGGUAAUACGUAGGUGGCAAGCGUUGUCCGGAAUUAUUGGGCGUAAAGCGCGCGCAGGCGGUUCCUUAAGUCUGAUGUGAAAUCUCGCGGCUCAACCGCGAGCGGCCAUUGGAAACUGGGGAACUUGAGUGCAGGAGAGGGGAGCGGAAUUCCACGUGUAGCGGUGAAAUGCGUAGAGAUGUGGAGGAACACCAGUGGCGAGGGCGGCUCUCUGGCCUGUAACUGACGCUGAGGCGCGAAAGCGUGGGGAGCGAACAGGAUUAGAUCCCCUGGUAGUCCACGCCGUAAACGAUGAGUGCUAAGUGUUAGAGGGGAUCCACCCUUUAGUGCUGCAGCAAACGCAUUAAGCACUCCGCCUGGGGAGUACGGCCGCAAGGCUGAAACUUAAAGGAAUUGGCGGG